rnacentral:rRNA from 1 species
AUGGGGUGCAGCAGGGGCGAAAACUUUACAAUGCGGGAAACCGUGAUAAGGGGACCUCGAGUGCCAGCAUAUUAUGUUGGCUGUCCAGAUGCCUAAAUAGCAUUUGAUAGCAAGGGCCGGGCAAGACCGGUGCCAGCCGCCGCGGUAACACCGGCGGCCCGAGUGGUAACCGUUAUUAUUGGGUCUAAAGGGUCCGUAGCCGGCCAAGUAAGUCCCUUGGGAAAUCUGGCAGCUUAACUGUCAGGCUGCCAGGGGAUACUGCUUGGCUUGGGACCGGGAGAGGUGAGAGGUACCUCAGGGGUAGGGGUGAAAUCUUGUAAUCCUUGAGGGACCACCAGUGGCGAAGGCGUCUCACCAGAACGGGUCCGACGGCAAGGGACGAAAGCUAGGGGCACGAACCGGAUUAGAUACCCGGGUAGUCCCAGCCGUAAAUGAUGUUCGCUAGGUGUCAGGGACGGUGCGACCGUUUCUGGUGCCGUAGGGAAGCCGUGAAGCGAACCACCUGGGAAGUACGGCCGCAAGGCUGAAACUUAAAGGAAUUGGCGGGGGAGCAC